UUUUAGGAGAGUACAAGAACCAUAUUCUUGUACUGUUAUUCCUUCUACUUUUAAAUAUUGUAUUCUUCGCCUGGUUGUCACCCUCCCUGAACAGAUAUCGGUCGCCCUGUUCAGCCCCUUAAAAGUCCUACUGUAUUAGACGAUCGGAACUGGUUUAGACUGUCCCCCCUGUUACCAAGGCAACGUUCUCCGCCCUGGCCAUAGAUGAACAGAAGGAUUGAUAGUUUUAUACCUCAAGAUAAUUAUAGUCCCUUUCUUUUAAACCUUGUAUAGUUAUUGUAUAUGUUAAGAGUUUUCACUGUAAGUUUGUGAAGCCUUGCAUGUCGGCUAAAGAUUCCGCUGAUAUAUAUAACUGUUAUAUGGUUACCAAUACAUGUUUUUUUAUGUAUUAUACUUAUUAAUUGGAUGAGUGAUAUUUUGUAGCUUAACCUACCUUUGAGGUUAAGUGUUAAUAAAUCCUUUCUUUUGGAUCUUUCACUCAAA